CAGAAGUUAAUUAAACACACACAUACAUCGACACAUAGGUCGGGGUGCUCCGGGUCUGCCGGGGUCGAACUAUGGGAUGUAUGGAGGCAUAAC
rnacentral:sRNA from 1 species